rnacentral:rRNA from 1 species
GUGAAAGAUUCAAGUAAUCAAAUCGUGGAUGACUGGGUUUGGGAGCCGAAGAAGAACGUGGCAAGCUGCGAUAAGCUUGGGGGACCCGCAAGCAGGGGUUGAUCCCAAGAUCUUCGAAUUAUUCCGUUAAGGAAUGGGCACGCAGGGAAUCGAAGCAUCCUAGUACCUGCAGGAAAAGACAACAACCGUGAUACGGGUAGUAAGGUCGACUGAAAUCCGUAGAGGGCAAACCGAAUCUGUUACGGUAACGUAAUAGAGAUGUGGAGUUCGGACUCGCGUACAUCCUGUUUUGUGAACACAAGUCUCCUGGAACGGAGCGCCAGAGCGCGUGAUAGCCGCGUGUGUGCAACAAAAUGGGUUGAUUUCGAGUAUCCAGAGUAUGCUGCGCCGGAUACCGCUGCAGAACACCCGGGCCAUUAUCCCGGAACCCUAAAUACACCCCAAAACCGAUAGCAUACGAGUACCGUGAGGGAAAGUUGAAAGAGUACUCUUAACCGAGAGUGCAAAGCGCCUGAAACGAUUUGAUGACGGAGAGAGGCGGCAUGGAAGAAACGACGAUGUCGGAAGCGAUGCAUAGCAAUGUGCAAAGUCACGAUGUCCGAUCAGUGUUGCCUCGUACGUCCUGAAGCACGAGCGAGGGAGUUUAUGCGUGUGGCGAGGCUAAGCUCUUUCCAGAGCGCAGCCGGAGGGAAACCGAUUGGGCGCAAUCCGCAAGGAUGAGGCCCUACAUGUUAACUCGUGUUGAGUCACCCGCAUACGACCCGAAGCCUUGUGAUCUAUCCCUGGGGAGAUUGAAGCCCGACUUCCGUUGGGUGGAGGAUCGAAACCAGUUCUAGUCCUACUGUUUGGGUCACCUGGGGAUAGGAGUAAAAUGUCAUUCGAACAAGGUGAUAGCGGGCUCCGCUUGAAACGGCCCUUAGGCCGGCUUCCAUGGAGACGGGGUGCGUUGUAGAGUUACUAAUUAGAACUUUUCGCCUGGAAACGGGUGGAGUUCUUGUUAAACUCCGAAUAUGCAUCCGUUGUAGAAGUGGAGAGUGGGGGAACGCGGGUAAGCCGCGUUUCCGAAAGGGAAAGAACCCGGUGCGUGGUUAAGGCCCAUAAAUGAUAGUUAAGUGUGAACAAAGUGCGUUGGUUUCCAUAGACAGUGGGGAGGUAGGCUUAGAAGCAGCCAUCCUUCAAAGAAAGCGUAACAGCUCACCCAUCUAGGACGCCAGCCGCGAAGAUACGCUGGGCUCAAACUAUCUGCCGACACCACGUGAUACGUUCUUUUAGAGCGUAAUUCAGUAAAGCGGUAUACGGGCGGCGUCGAAGCAGGGCCAUAAGGUCCUGUGGAGCUACCUGUAUCAUGGAUCCUCGCGCUAGUAAUGAAAUAGAGGAGUGAGAAUCUCCUCCGUCGAAAGGGCAAGGGUUCCUCAGCGCUAGUCAUUAGCUGAGGGUUAGUCGGUCCUAAGUCCUCGCAUAACGCGUGAAGGGCGAAAGGGAAACAGGUUCAUAUUCCUGUACGACGAUGAUACGAAUAUCGGCAACGAUCGGGGGACAUGUAACGUAUGGGGCUAUGCGGUGUGCGCUCGUCUGCGCAUUCAAGGCCUAUAUGCCAAUGGAGAAUCGUCAUGGUGAGAAGUUGGCAAAAGGGUUGGAGCAGCAAUGUUCCGCAAAGGCCCGAUGCCCAUGAAAAACGUGUCCUCAAGGAUUCAUUGUCUCCGUACCGAGAACCGAGAAAGGUGCCCCUGGCUGAGAAGGCCAAGACGUUCCGGAACAAACUCUUGUAAGGGAAUUCGGCAAUCUAGCCCCGUAUCUUAGGUAGAAGGGGUGCCUCUGCGUGCAUAACGUGGAGGUUGCAAUAACAAAGGGAGUCCGACUGUUUAUCAAAAACGUAGGUGACUGCAAUGCUGCGAAGCUGAGUAUAGUCACCGACUUCUGCUCACUGCAAGUAGCUGAACACGGGUUUCAACCCGUCUAAAGCCUUGUGAAGAGCGGGCCUAACUCUGAGGCUCUCACGGUAGCGUAAUACCUUGCCGGUUUAUUGCCGGCUUGCACCAAGGAAGUAACGAGAUUCCUGCUGUCCCUACAAGGGGUCCGAUGAACUCACUACGCGGUGAAUAUGCCGCGGAACUCCAACGGGAAGAGAAGACCCCACGGCAGUUUACCACACCCUGUCGUUGUUGUAAGAAGCGUGAUGUGCAGUGUAGAUGGGAGCGACGAAACGGCUUCGCCAGGAGCCGCGAAUGCGAAAGUGCAACACCAUCCUUUGCGUUUCUUACGGCUUACCUCCUUUGGGGGGACACCGAUAGGCUUGGUGGUUUGACUGGGGCGGUACGCCCCUGAAAAUGUAUCAGGGGCGCCCAAUGGUCUGCUCAGGUGAGUCAGAAAUUCACCGUAGAGUGCAAAAGCAAAAGCAGGCUUGACGGUGAUCUACAUAGCAAGGAUCGCCGAUGGGAAACCAGGGUUUAGCGAGCGCUAGUGUCCCAAGUAAUGGGGGCCUAGUCUAACAGUGAACCGAUCCUGGGGGUAACUGAGUGGUCGCGGGAGAGCGUUCACAGCGACCCCGCGGUUUGCGACCUCGCCGUCGUCUCAAGACAUCCUGGCCGUGCAUAAGCGGCCAAGGGUGGAGGGGUUUACUCAUUAAAGUCUUUCGUUAGUUGGGUUAAGAACGGUGCGAGCCAGUUUGGUUACUAUCUGUUGGAGUUGUUGAGGGUCUGAGGGAAAGUUUCACUGAGUACGAGAGGAACGGUGAGAUGGAGCCACUGGUACACCAGUUGUCCGACAGGGCACUGCUGGGUAGCCACGCUCUAGGCGAUAAACGCUGAAAGCAUCUAAGCGUGAAGCGCCCCCUGAAAAUAGACCUUCGUGUUGGAUCUGCUGAGCGAAACCUCAGUGUUACCAACCGAGCGUGCCGUUAGAAGAACGGGUUGAUAGGCGCGCGGUGUACGCACGAAGCUUCGGCGACGUGUUCAGCCGACGCGUACUAAUAACGCAAGGAAUUUUCACU